rnacentral:RNase_P_RNA from 1 species
CGCACACUCCGCCUUGCCGCUGCCCAGCAAUGGGGAGAGGAAAGUCUGGACAACACAGGGCACCGCUCUUCCUAACGGGAAGGGGGCAGUCUCGGAAGGGAAUGCCUACAGCCAGUGCCGCAGAAAGGGAUACCGCCGGUGCUUGCGCCGGUAAGGGUGAAAAGGUGGGGUAAGAGCCCACCAGUGCGGGCAGCAAUGUUCGCAGCUUGGUAAACCUAGCGGGUUGAAAUGCCAUGUAAACCAACGACGGUGCUGCGUGCAGUGCUGAGAGGGCGGCCCGCCCGAGUUGGAGGGUAGGCAGAUGGAGCCAGCCGGUGACGGUUGGUCUAGAUCAAUGGCAAGGGCCUCUUUGGAGGUACAGAAUCCGGCUUACAGGAGUGUGCGCUUU